ensembl:lncRNA uncharacterized LOC107553616
UCAACUUACGCUACUGUGUAUCUGAUGUUUGUAUCACAGGUUUCUCUUGGCUACACAUAACUGCGUUGAUUCUCUGUAUUUUUGCAUCUGGAUCUGCACUUCUCUCCUUGCUUGUUUACUCCAGAACAGGAAAUCAAGAAAAAAGGCUGUGUCUUCAAGUUUGUCUUUUCCUUUGCCUGGAUAUAACUAUGCUGUUGGCUUCAAUCAUAUGGUGUGUUAUUGAAGGUUCUUUGUAUGAGACCGUCUCUUGCUGCAUGCUCUAUAUUCUGGGGCCUCUGAGGUUGUUUUGGGUUAAACCAUUAACCACAGAUUUGCCAGGUUGGUUUUUAAAAUAAAAUGCUGUGUAACACUGUUAAUCAGACAUU